CACAACGGGUCCAUGUAAUUCAUCAAUGUACUCCAUCAUAACAUCAAAGGAGAGAAAUCGCAAUGUAUCAUAACGCUACAAGAUCAUAAUCGUAAUAUAUAGAAUACGCAAUGCAGAGAAACAAAAAGAAAAUAAAAUGGACAUGAUAUAUGAUUAUGGUCUGAGUCUAUUGAAAAUUAAUUUGUGGGAUUUUGGAGCCAGAUAUUAAGAAUUGAUAGUCAAAAUUACUAAAAUCAAGAUACCGGUGUGAACUUGGCAGCUAAAAGGUAGCAGCCAAAAUCCCGAAAACACCCGAGCGCACAUAGACGUACAUCGAAAAAUUAUUACGGAAAAAUAAACAUUAAAAAGGUGAAAAAUGA